GAGAGUAUGCUCAGUGGUAGAGUACCUGCUUAGCAUGCACAAGGUCCUGGGUUCAAUCCCCAGUACCUACA
rnacentral:tRNA from 1 species